rnacentral:rRNA from 1 species
AAUCAACGCUGGCGGCGUGCCUAACACAUGCAAGUCGAACGCGAAAGCCCCGCAAGGGGUAAGUAGAGUGGCAAACGGGUGAGUAACACGUGGGUGACCUGCCUUCGAGUGGGGGAUAACGUCCCGAAAGGGACGCUAAUACCGCAUGACAUCCUGCUCUUGGACGAGCGGAGAUCAAAGCUAGGGAUCGCAAGACCUGGCGCUUGAAGAGGGGCCCGGGCCUGAUUAGCUAGUUGGUGGGGUAACGGCCUACCAAGGCGACGAUGCGUAGCCGACCUGAGAGGGUGACCGGCCACACUGGGACUGGGACACGGCCCAGACUCCUACGGGAGGCAGCAGUAGGGAAUUUUCCACAAUGGGCGAAAGCCUGAUGGAGCAACGCCGCGUGAACGAUGAAGGUCUUCGGAUUGUAAAGUUCUGUUGUCAGGGACGAAACCGUACCGUUCGAACAGGGCGGUACCUUGACGGUACCUGACGAGAAAGCCACGGCUAACUACGUGCCAGCCGCCGCAGUAA